GUGGGGAAUUUUGGACAAUGGGCGAAAGCCUGAUCCAGCCAUGCCGCGUGCAGGAUGAAGGCCUUCGGGUUGUAAACUGCUUUUGUACGGAACGAAAAGACUUCUUCUAAUACAGGAGGUCCAUGACGGUACCGUAAGAAUAAGCACCGGCUAACUACGUGCCAGCAGCCGCGGUAAUACGUAGGGUGCAAGCGUUAAUCGGAAUUACUGGGCGUAAAGCGUGCGCAGGCGGUUAUAUAAGACAGAUGUGAAAUCCCCGGGCUCAACCUGGGAACUGCAUUUGUGACUGCAUCGCUGGAGUGCGGCAGAGGGGGAUGGAAUUCCGCGUGUAGCAGUGAAAUGCGUAGAUAUGCGGAGGAACACCGAUGGCGAAGGCAAUCCCCUGGGCCUGCACUGACGCUCAUGCACGAAAGCGUGGGGAGCAAACAGGAUUAGAUACCCGAGUAGUCC
rnacentral:rRNA from 1 species